rnacentral:sRNA from 1 species
AUGCUGCUGCUGAAGAAACACACGGAGGACAUCAGCAGCGUCUACGAGAUCCGCGAGAGGCUCGGCUCGAUCAGUCACCCCAACAUCGUCGCUCUGGAGGAUGUCCACGAGAGCCCUUCCCACCUCUACCUGGCCAUGGAACUGUGAGGAGGGCCUGGGCAGGCUGUGGGAGCCGGGGAGGGACUGAGCAGUGAGUGGGGCUGAAGGCCAGGCUGAGUGCCUGGGUCAGCCAAACCCCUGGCACCCCCAGGGUGACGGGUGGCGAGCUGUUUGACCGCAUCAUGGAGCGCGGCUCCUACACAGAGAAGGAUGCCAGCCAUCUGGUGGGUCAGGUCCUCGGCGCCGUUUCCUACCUGCACAGCCUGGGGAUCGUGCACCGGGACCUCAAGGUGCCUGGCUGGGGCCUCUGCACCCCACCCUCCCACCUGCCCACCUGGCCCUGCUUUUGUUUUCCCGGGAGCACGGCUGGGGCCUUUCUUGAUCUCCCGCUUCACCAAGGCUCUGGGGAACCUGAGAGUGCCUAGUCCCCAUCCUGUCCCAGCACCGGCACCGCGUCAGGACUGACCUGGCCCUUUUCCUGGUGUCCGUGUGUCACAGCCCGAAAACCUCCUGUAUGCCACGCCCUUUGAGGACUCGAAGAUCAUGGUCUCUGACUUUGGACUCUCCAAAAUCCAGGCUGGCAACAUGCUAGGCACCGCCUGUGGGACCCCUGGAUAUGUGGGUGAGGGACGACACCCUGAGGCUUGCUGGGAGUGGGGUGGCCUGGGGGACCCUAGACAGCCGGGAAGGCUGUUGUGCCCGUUGUCUUUGUGUGGGCCAUUCCUGGGCUUGAGUAGGCCGAGCCAGUGACACUGAGCGGCAUGGCUGCGUGUGUGCCUGUGCGUGCGUCUGUCUGUCUCUGGCCCCCAGCCCCAGAGCUCUUGGAGCAGAAACCCUACGGGAAGGCCGUAGAUGUGUGGGCCCUGGGCGUCAUCUCCUACAUCCUGUGAGUGACCGCUGGGAAGGCUUGUCUCCUGCCUGCCUGCCCCUGCUGGGUUGGGGAGGGUGGGACAGCUGGAUGAUUCAUCUGUGGGUGCCAGGCUGUGUGGGUACCCCCCCUUCUACGAUGAGAGCGACCCUGAGCUCUUCAGCCAGAUCCUGAGGGCCAGCUAUGAGUUUGACUCUCCUUUCUGGGAUGACAUCUCAGAAUCAGCCAAAGACUUCAUCCGGCACCUUCUGGAGCGAGACCCCCAG